rnacentral:rRNA from 1 species
GACGAACGCUGGCGGCGUGCUUAACACCUGCAAGUCGAACGGAAAGGCCCUGCUUUUGUGGGGUGCUCGAGUGGCGAACGGGUGAGUAACACGUGAGUAACCUGCCCUUGACUUUGGGAUAACUUCAGGAAACUGGGGCUAAUACCGGAUAGGAGCUCCUGCUGCAUGGUGGGGGUUGGAAAGUUUCGGCGGUUGGGGAUGGACUCGCGGCUUAUCAGCUUGUUGGUGGGGUAGUGGCUUACCAAGGCUUUGACGGGUAGCCGGCCUGAGAGGGUGACCGGCCCCAUUGGGACUGGGUAACGGCCCGGACUCCUCCGGACGCCAGCGGUGGGAAAUUUUCCAAAAGGGGCGGAGGCUGAUUGCAGCAACGCCGGGUCGGGAAGACCGGCUUUCGGGUUGAAACCCACUUUCGCCUGUACCGAGGCGUGGUUACGGUUAAGGGUAAAGAAGCACCGGCUAACUACGUG